rnacentral:rRNA from 1 species
AGUGAACGCUGGCGGUAGGCCUAACACAUGCAAGUCGAACGGCAGCACAGUAAGAGCUUGCUCUUACGGGUGGCGAGUGGCGGACGGGUGAGGAAUACAUCGGAAUCUACUUUUUCGUGGGGGAUAACGUAGGGAAACUUACGCUAAUACCUCAUACGACCUACGGGUGAAAGCAGGGGAUCUUCGGACCUUGCGCGAUUGAAUGAGCCGAUGUCGGAUUAGCUAGUUGGCGGGGUAAAGGCCCACCAAGGCGACGAUCCGUAGCUGGUCUGAGAGGAUGAUCAGCCACACUGGAACUGAGACACGGUCCAGACUCCUACGGGAGGCAGCAGUGGGGAAUAUUGGACAAUGGGCGCAAGCCUGAUCCAGCCAUACCGCGUGGGUGAAGAAGGCCUUCGGGCUGUAAAGCCCUUUUGUUGGGAAAGAAAAGCAGCAGGUUAAUACCCCGCUGUUCUGACGGUACCCAAAGAAUAAGCACCGGCUAACUUCGUG